rnacentral:tRNA from 1 species
GCGGCUGUAGUUCAACGGUAGAAUAACGGCCUUCCAAGCCGUGGGUUGCGGGUUCGAAUCCCGUCGGCCGCUCCA